rnacentral:RNase_P_RNA from 1 species
UCGGUCGGCCGGACGGUCGCCGCCGGGCGGGGGCAACCUCGUUUGGGGGAGGAAAGUCCGGGCUCCAUAGGGCGCGGUGGUGGGUAACGCCCACCCCCCGUAACGGUCAGGGCCCCGGCCCGGAUCGCCAAGGGGCGGGACAGUGCAACAGAAAGUAAACCGCCCGGGCUCCGGCCCGGGUAAGGGUGAAAAGGUGCGGGGCGAAAGCCCUUAAUGUAAGAGCGCACCAGCGGCGGGGUGACCCGUCGGCUCGGCAAACCCCACCGGGAGCAAGGCCAAGCAGGGGGACAGGGUCGGCCCGGCCCGUCACGAACCCCCGGGUAGGCUGCUCGAUCCCGCGGGUAACCGCGGGGCUAGAUAAAUGACCGUCACCGCCCGGCAACGGGCGGGACAAAACCCGGCUUACAGGCCGGCCGGCAAA